rnacentral:rRNA from 1 species
GAGGAAUAUUGGACAAUGGGCGCAAGCCUGAUCCAGCCAUGCCGCGUGCAGGAAGACGCCUCUAUGGUGUGUAAACUGCUUUUGUACGGGAAGAAACACUCCCUCGUGAGGGAGCUUGACGGUACCGUAAGAAUAAGGAUCGGCUAACUCCGUGCCAGCAGCCGCGGUAAUACGGAGGAUCCAAGCGUUAUCCGGAAUCAUUGGGUUUAAAGGGUCCGUAGGCGGUUUAAUAAGUCAGUGGUGAAAGCCCAUCGCUCAACGAUGGAACGGCCAUUGAUACUGUUAGACUUGAAUUACAAGGAAGUAACUAGAAUAUGUAGUGUAGCGGUGAAAUGCUUAGAGAUUACAUGGAAUACCAAUUGCGAAGGCAGGUUACUACUUGUGGAUUGACGCUGAUGGACGAAAGCGUGGGGAGCGAAC